AAAAAAUAAAUAUCUUCCAGAGGAAUAUAGAUGAUUAAAACAAAUUCAGUCCAAAAUAUGUUGUAAAAUAGACGAAUUAAGCAAGGAUUAAAUAGAAAAUAACAAAAAGAAAAAACGUCGUAAUCAUAAACCAAACCCCUCUCAAGUCUCAAGUUGGGAAAUAAUAAGAGGGGUUUUGUGCUUUUGCAUAUUGCAGGAAAAUGGGAGCAGGAAGCAAAGCAGGGGACUUGGUAUUUAAGGCGUUGGUGGGGGGACUCGGCGUCACCACCAUUUAUCUCACUGCUACUUUCUCCGCUAACGUCUACCGUGGUCUCUCUUGGCAUAAAGCCCAAUCGAAAAAUGAACAAGAAAGAUCUGUAGUUCAGCAGGGAGAAUGACGUGUUUUCAAGUCCCACACUAGGUCGUCAUGUUGCUAGCUGAGGUCCUGCCAGAAAUUUCGGAGGAUAUCUGAAUCUUGUCGCAUUGUGUAAUAAUUUUUUCACAGUUUUUCCAUAGGAUACUUAAAACACGGCAGCACUUCAUGAACUUCUCAUCCAACGAACAAAUUGGAUGGACAGUAUGCUAUGUUUAUUCAUUUUCUGUUGCUACUUUGUUGCUGAAGUCUCCGUAACUCUGAGUUAUAGCAGCUAACAACUGUUCAAUGGAGUUGGAACGAUAUUCGGAGUUCCACAGUUGUUUGAUUUGCAUUCAUUAAUAAUUAUAUUUACAA